UUAACUUUUUCUGAUGUAUUUGAAUACAACAAAUUUGGUACAAAUAUUACUUCAAAUUCAUACAAACUGUUAGAUAUUCUUGCUUUAAUGCAAAAAUCAAAUUUCCAAUAUAUAAUGUUAGCUUUGUUUCUUCCUUUAAAGUUUUACCUAUUUUGUUGCUGUAUCUCCUAUGCUAUUAAGCUACCUGGAAUGUCACUGUCAGGUUAAGAAAGUUCCCUCUGGGCUCCAUAUUGGUAGAUGUACAUCCUUCUAAGACUCUCUUGGUACCAAAGAAAUAUAAAGACUUUAAACUUAAUUCCCCUAAUUUCUUGCCAGUCAGACCCCAGAAAGACCCCACUCAUGAAUGCUACUCACAAAAGACAGCAAAACAGAAGAAAGUAGAAAAUGGAAGCAUUAAUGGUUGACGCGGGAAAAGUCUUGUCCAGUCAAGGGACAGGAGGCAGGCUCAUCAAGACUGCAACUACCCAGGUCCAGAACCAGUGUUAUGAGCUGGCCCACCCCAACCUCCACCCCAUCUAUGAUCUGCUACAGCAUGUGAAGGGGCCAGUCAAGCAGACCUAAAGCUGCAGGAUCUCCACAACACAGGGCAGCAACAGGACAUCCAAGAGGAGCCCCGCUGAGAGCCCAGCAUGGGUAGUGUAGUAGAAACCAGAGGCCUCGAACCAAACCAAGGACUCUUUGCAACAAACGCUUUCCCAAGCCAGAUUCAUCCAAGACAAGAGAAGGGGUGCAGUGAAAGUCCUGAGUUGUGGAAUGGGCGACCGUGUCCCUGGGGAUCACUAGAAACUGCAGACAGCACCGAACAGAUGUGCACCUGAUCGGCCUCACGGAGCCCUCUCCCUCACUAUCUAGACCAUCUCAAGCACUGAUAUUUUCUGCCCAUUCGAUUUUGACAGUCACACAGAGUUGUUUUGUGCCUGCAUCUGAGCUCUCCUGGACAAAACAAACAACCAACUGUCAACUUCCCUGAGCAUUUUCGGCUCUGCUUUCUAAUUUGCAAGCCUCCCUACAAGGAAAUUAGUUGAUAGGACCCAAGUGUUGUACUGUUUCCCCACUACGAUGGCAUUUACAUACAAAUUAAUGACCAAGACUAUAAUUUCCUUGGCUGAGAACUGAGGUGACCUGAUAAUUAAGUCUCAGCACAUGCAGAGAAAGCACAGAACUAGAAAGGUUGCGCUUGUUUUCCUCCCCACCCCCAUAUUUCCCUGUUACUCUAACAAAUGCUUGGGAGCAAA